AACGAACGCUGGCGGCAUGCCUAACACAUGCAAGUCGAACGAGACCUUCGGGUCUAGUGGCGCACGGGUGCGUAACGCGUGGGAAUCUGCCCUUGGGUUCGGAAUAACAGUUGGAAACGACUGCUAAUACCGGAUGAUGACGUAAGUCCAAAGAUUUAUCGCCCAAGGAUGAGCCCGCGUAGGAUUAGCUAGUUGGUGAGGUAAAGGCUCACCAAGGCGACGAUCCUUAGCUGGUCUGAGAGGAUGAUCAGCCACACUGGGACUGAGACACGGCCCAGACUCCUACGGGAGGCAGCAGUGGGGAAUAUUGGACAAUGGGCGAAAGCCUGAUCCAGCAAUGCCGCGUGAGUGAUGAAGGCCUUAGGGUUGUAAAGCUCUUUUACCCGGGAUGAUAAUGACAGUACCGGGGAAUAAGCUCCGGCUAACUCCGUG
rnacentral:rRNA from 1 species